rnacentral:rRNA from 1 species
UGUAUAGCGAAAGCUAGUUGUGCUUAAUUUAGUUAAAACUAAAUUGGUGCAAUAUUGACUAGGUCAAAUAAAGUUCUAGCUAGAAUUAUGAUGAUGACAUUGUCUAUCUAUGUGUCUUGACCAAAUUACGUGCCAGCAGUCGCGGUAAUACGUAAAAGACUAGUGUUACUCAUCUUGAAUAGGUUUAAAGGGUACCUAGACGGCCAAUCAAGCCCCAAAAGGGUACUAAUCGGCUAGAGUUUAAUAUAAGUAGGCUUUAAAGUACUGAGAAUGUUGAGAGAUGAAAUUCUGUGAUACUAUAUACGGCACUGGUAAAGGCGAAAGCAUCUUAUUAUGUAAAAACUGACGUUGAGGGACGAAGGCUGUGUGUAGCAAAAAGGAUUAGAUACCCAAGUAGUCUCAGCAGAAAAUGAUGAAUGUCAUAGUGUAGAGUAAUUUUGCAAUAUAAAUGAAAGUGUAAGCAUUCCACCUUAAGAGUAAUUUGGCAACAUUGGAACUGAAAUCAUUAGACCGUUUCUGAAACAAGUAGUGAAGUAUGUUGUUUAAUUUGAUGGUCCGCAAAAAACCUUACCACAAUUUGAAUAUAAAAAUAUUUAUACAAGCGCUGCACGGUUGUCUUCAGUUAAUGUCGUGAGAUUCUGGUUAGUUCCAUUAAAUUAACGUAAACCCUUACUUUAUUUUAUUAUAGAGUAGUUCCCCGCUAUA